GCCAGGUGCAGUGGCACACACCUAUAAUCCCUGUGUCUUGGGAGGCAGAGGCAGGAGGACAGCAAGUUCAAAGCCAGUCUCAGCAAUUUAGCGAGGCACUGAGCAACUCAGUGAGAUACUGUCUCUAAAUAAAGUUGUUUAGUGCCUCACUAAGUUGCUGAGGCUGGCUUUAAACUCUCCUUCCUCCCCUCUC
rnacentral:sRNA from 1 species